UCUAAAAAAAGGAUUUCAAAUUGGGGGAUCUCAAUUUAGAAUUCAGAACCCUAAUUUCGGCCCAACCCUCAAAUUCAAAUUCAGUUACUUGUUGAGCAUCUCGAGCUGUCACUGAAAGCGAUCAGAUUUAGAGCGAGAAGCAGCGGAUGUCGCGCGCGCAUUUUCGUCUUAUUUCAGUCGUCGCCGUCCGUCGAUCUCCACCGUUGUUGCGCGUCGUUUACCUUCCCUCAGUUGUCCGAUCCCGGUUGGCAUCUUGCCGGCAUUUGGCCCCCAAGUCCCCUGGCGAUUCCCAUGAUAAUUUCAUAACGCUUAGGCCAUGUCAACUGUGUUCUCCGAUAUUGAUCUGCAAGUGAUUGAACACCAUGUGGAUGUUAAUGAUGAAAGUAUGGGAUUUCACAAGCACAAGAAAAAGAUGAAGGAUAAAUCUGAGUAUACCAACAAGAGAAAGAUCAAGACUUUUAUUCUGCAGGUUUGCAAUCACCAUAACUUCGUUUCUGAACUCUUCGAGACCCUGAUGUGAGCAUCUGGAUAAUCUUUUGACUGCGAUUUCUUCUCCAGAUGGCAUGUUCCCCUGCUUAUGCAUGUUAGUUUACAAGUAAGGCAAGUAUAUUUUUGUUGUUCGACUUCAGCUUUUUCAUUUAGUACAUUACCUUGUAAACAGGACCGAAUCCUCCAACUCCAAUCAUGUUUUCCGUGGAGAAAUUAUUUGUUGCUUGCAUAAUAGUAGCCAUUUUGAUCACAGGGAAAUUCAUAAGUCAAUGUCAUUCUGGGCUUCCAUCUGUAGGACUAAAGGGGCACAGACACCAGAUAAGGACAGAGAUGUCAUCCGGCU